rnacentral:rRNA from 1 species
GACGAACGCUGGCGGCGUGCUUAACACAUGCAAGUCGAACGGUGAAGCGCCUUCCUUUUUGGUGGGUGUGGAUGAGUGGCGAACGGGUGAGUAACACGUGAGUAACCUGCCCCCUUCUUCUGGAUAACCGCAUGAAAGUGUGGCUAAUACGGGAUAUUCUGUGCCUGCUGCAUGGUGGGUGUGGGAAAGAUUGCGCUUUUUUGGUGUUUUUGGUGGGGGAUGGGCUCGCGGCCUAUCAGCUUGUUGGUGGGGUGAUGGCCUACCAAGGCGGUGACGGGUAGCCGGCCUGAGAGGGUGGACGGUCACACUGGGACUGAGACACGGCCCAGACUCCUACGGGAGGCAGCAGUGGGGAAUAUUGCACAAUGGGCGCAAGCCUGAUGCAGCGACGCCGCGUGAGGGAUGGAGGCCUUCGGGUUGUGAACCUCUUUCGCCAGUGAAGCAGGCCUGCCUCGUUGUGGGUGGGUUGACGGUAGCUGGAUAAGAAGCGCCGGCUAACUACGUGCCAGCAGCCGCGGUAAUACGUAGGGCGCGAGCGUUGUCCGGAAUUAUUGGGCGUAAAGAGCUCGUAGGCGGCUGGUCGCGUCUGUCGUGAAUCCUCUGGCUUAACUGGGGGCUUGCGGUGGGUACGGGCCGGCUUGAGUGCGGUAGGGGAGACUGGAACUCCUGGUGUAGCGGUGGAAUGCGCAGAUAUCAGGAAGAACACCGGUGGCGAAGGCGGGUCUCUGGGCCGUUACUGACGCUGAGGAGCGAAAGCGUGGGGAGCGAACAGGAUUAGAUACCCUGGUAGUCCACGCCGUAAACGUUGGGCACUAGGUGUGGGGGGCCUUUUCCGGGUUUUCCGCGCCGUAGCUAACGCAUUAAGUGCCCCGCCUGGGGAGUACGGCCGCAAGGCUAAAACUCAAAGGAAUUGACGGGGGCCCGCACAAGCGGCGGAGCAUGCGGAUUAAUUCGAUGCAACGCGAAGAACCUUACCAAGGCUUGACAUGUGCCGGUCGGCUCCGGAGACGGGGUUUCCUCCUUGUGGGGCCGGUUCACAGGUGGUGCAUGGUUGUCGUCAGCUCGUGUCGUGAGAUGUUGGGUUAAGUCCCGCAACGAGCGCAACCCUUGUCUCGUGUUGCCAGCACGUUGUGGUGGGGACUCGCGGGAGACUGCCGGGGUCAACUCGGAGGAAGGUGGGGAUGACGUCAAAUCAUCAUGCCCCUUAUGUCUUGGGCUUCACGCAUGCUACAAUGGCCGGUACAGAGGGCUGCGAUACCGUGAGGUGGAGCGAAUCCCUUAAAGCCGGUCUCAGUUCGGAUCGGUGUCUGCAACUCGACACCGUGAAGUUGGAGUCGCUAGUAAUCGCAGAUCAGCAACGCUGCGGUGAAUACGUUCUCGGGCCU